rnacentral:lncRNA from 1 species
UUGGGCCUUCCUAUGGAUUGUUGAGCCGCGUGGCAGCGGAGAUUCCAUAAAGAAAAGAUGUCCGGUGUGAGGAGGAUCAGGACAAUGAUAACAGACAGGAUACUGAGGGAACAGAAAUGACUGUAAUGAACUAAAUGAAUAAAAAGCAGCGGCAGACAGGUAAAUGAUCAAUCAGUCAAUCAAUCAAUUUUAUUUAUAUUGCGCCAAUUCACAACAGUCGUCAUCCUAAGACACUUUGCAAAGAAAAAGAGCAGGUCUAGACCACGCUCAUUGUUUGAUGAAUUAUCAAGACCCAACCUUAUGAUGGGAUUUGGCCCAUCUCAUCUAACAUGAGUGACAGCGGCAAGGAAAAACUUCCUUUAAACAUGCAGAAACCUUGGGCAGGACCCCGACUCAUGAAAGACAGCCACCAGGCCGCUGCUGGGUUAGGGAGGAAUACAGAGAGAAGAGUAGGAGAGAAAGAGAGAGAGAAUGACUAAGGGAGAGGGAGGAAGAGAGAAUAGAGAACGAGGGUCAGGCAGGUCCGCAGCAGCCAACCAUCUGUAGCAUCAGUCCAGAGAUGAGAGAAAUGAAAAUCAAAAAGAUAAAAUCCAAAUGUGUGAUGAUCUUCAUGAGGAUGAAGACAUGUCUGAUGAUGAUAAUGUACAGACCAGUGCUAAGAGAGAGAAAAGCUGACAGAGAGUGACAGGGAUUUGAUGUCUACACAAGAAGAGCAUAACAGCGACUCUGUAGUCUUGAUCAGGAAGUUUUUUACAGGACACUAAAGGAACCAGACAGAUUAAUAUUGAUAACGUCUUCCCUGAUCUCGAACUGUUUUAAGCUCAGCUCAGCCUCUAACUAGAAGCAAAGGAGCUUUUGGUGGAGGAGGCCUCACAGAUCAGGAGAUUUAUCAUCUCGGGAAAGUGAUUCCCAAAGUCAGAACACUAAUCAAUGAAGAUGAGUAAUUGAACAGUCUUCGCUCUCUUUCUAUCUCCUCCUGUUGGACGCUUUUCUUGCUUGUUUUUUCUCCUCCUCUAUCUCCAUGGGUACCUAAACCUAAAACGCCUUCCAAUCCAGCCAACUUGUGCUUCUGUGUCAUUGCCGGAGGCCCUGCCAUCCCCUGUGCCCCCUUGCAUUUCCAGUCUCACACUCAAAUUGCAUUGUUAUCAUACUAUUACAAUUUCUCUUUUCUGCUGUGGUAUUCAGGUCACUUUUCAGAAAGAAAAAGCACCAAGCAUUUGUAUGACUGAUUUCAGGCCAUUUUAUAGACUCUAGUUCAUUCAGGUUUCAAGGAAAUGACAUUAUCAGUUCACCAUCAGAGGUUCAAGUGGGUGUAGAAAGCUUGCAGGCUGUUUAGCAGAGCUGCUGCCUGAUGUGACUGGUGUAGUGAAAGUUUGUCCGAUUGUUUCCUGAGACCUAGUCAUUCAUUUUUGUUAUCUGUGGGGUCAUAAAAACAUCCAAAAAUUCCCACGUACGUGAUUACACCGGAAGGGGAAAACUCACAAAGAUGGAGAAAGGGUAGAAGGGGAAGUUAGUUUGCUUUUCUUGGGCUCCUCACUCCUCCUCCCUCCUCCACCUCUUUGGUAUCCUCAAACUCAGAAAAUGUCUCAGACUGAAGGACACAGUCUGAGUGACUUUUGCCCAGCCUUCAGUCUCCACCUACAGUGUGAGGGUCUCAGUUUUAAAGGUGUCAUGAUCUUCAGCCUCCUCCUGGACUUUUAUGGUUAAUCCAUCAUGAAGGGGCUCCUCCUGGACUCUUUCACGCAGCUAUAAUGCCAGAAUUGAUUUCCCUCAUCUGUUUCUUUACAUUUCACUCAGGAUUAUUACUUGCAUGCAGAACAUGUUGUAACUGCAUAUGGAACACACGGUACGUAGGCUGCAGGAAUACAAAUGCAGAUUCGUAGCCGGCGGCUAUUGUUCUGUUGUUUAGACACCAGCUGCUCAAACAACAGACAGGGUCAGUAUGAAUCAGUCAAAGCAAGCAAAGCAAGUACCAGAGUGAUUCAUUCUCCCUGUGUAAUGAUCCAAACAAUGAGAAAUCACUUUCUCAGGCCUACAUCUGAGUCAGUUUACCUGUGAUAUGUCACGAUCCAUCACCUCCAGUCUAAUCCAGUUCAGUCCUUCUCAUCCUAACAAAGUUAAGUGUUUUUCUUCAGAUCUUGGAGCCAUGCAAUUUUAAUUUUCAACUAAAGUAUAUUUUCUGUAAAAACAUAUGGAGCAGAUGCAGAAAUUAAUAGUUUAAAUGCUGCUGUAAGUGUGUGAGUCUGUGGAUGUGAUGUGGGAGACAUUCCUCCAAAUUUAGCCUUUCAUAAGUUAGUUUGCAGAGCAGUGAAGAAGGCAGACAUUUCAUGCUCGUUGCAUUAAGUUACAAACCUCUAAAUAUUCAUCAGGAUUUCCAGGAUUAAAAGGCUCAACAGAUUUGCUGUUGACUUCCUUUAACUUUGGAUUGCAGCCUGAAUAGAUUUAAUUACAGUUCUAAACCAAUGAGCAGGCGAAGUCUUGACUGUCUGCCUUACUUCCACUGUAGCUGUAGCUUAAAGGGAUAUUCCGGUGUAAAAUUAAGUUGGGGUCAAACACACUGUUACACCGAGUUAGACACCCCACUGAGAGAUUAAAAAAUGAUCAUAAAUGUUCUUCCUUGAGCUGCAUCACCCCACAGCAGUCUGUAAUGGACUUGCCUAAGGUCUCUGUAUAAACAAGCGGCUGCUGGAAGAGAGUCGGUGAGUUGUGUUUAGUCUCUUUGCUAAAGAAAUAAUAGGCAAAGUUAAAAAGAUGUUUGGUGGCUAGUACUCUAUAUAUACUGUUGAUGAAGUUAGGUGCUGUUCUGAGCAUUUUCUGUGGCUAUAGAGUAGCGUUUUGGUUGAGCGCAUGGCUCCUGGGACCGCUGUCUAUUGCUAUCAUGUGGUCGUUUUUAAAGUUGGUAUAACUCGAGAAGCAAGCGGUCGGCAACAUUCAUCUCUCAACAGGGUGUCUAACUCAGUGUUAUGGGGUGUUUGACCCUGAUUUAAUUUUAUGCCGGAAUAUCCCUUUAAAGGCAAAAAGGGCAUCCAAAUUAGUGUUGUUUUUGUUGACGAAAAUAUUUCGUCAACGCCCCUUUUUUAAAAUGUGACGAGACGAUUGUGCGUUUACACUGACGAAAUGAGACUAGACGAAAAUGUUAGUGGUGGACGAUGAACAGGGUUGCAAAAUUCAUGAGCAUUUCGUCAGUCAAAUGCUUAACAUAUAUUCGCAGUGUUGUUUUCGUUGAUGAUGACGUCAUCGUCAAAAAAAAAAAAAACACUGAUCCACAUGUCCACAUAAAAGAUGAAAUCCACUUUUCAGCAACACUUAAAGCAGGAAAUGAUGCUAUUUGACUUGCUUCUGGCACCUGCAGCACUAAAACAGACUGAUUUCCUUUUAACCUUGAAACGCACUCUGGUCAUUAGGGUCUAUCAUAUGCAUGUAUUUGUCAAGUCAGAGGAUGCACCCAGAAUAAACAAAACACUAACCUGUCUCUGCCCUGCUCUCUUUCUUUUUUUCCUUUUCUUAGAGAUUCCUGUUAGUCCUGGCGGCUCAGCCGAGCAGGCGGAGAGGUUGGCAAUGUGAAGAAAGGGUUUCAGCACCACGGACAGCACCUCCGCUCGCUCCAGUCAGACUCACAGUGGAGAGGCGUGGAAAUAUUUCAGGUAGGCCGGGUAAUCAGAUUCAGCUCUCGCCACCAAAACACAUGAUUGGUAUCAAAAUGUUUUCCCUGACCUUCUCUGAAAGAUUUGAAGGUAACACACCUGCUGAAUACAUAAAACAGCCGAGAUUACCUGGUAAACCAAGAGGCUGCUGAAGGGAGGCAAUCAAAGAGAUUCCCUGAGUUGGCUUGAUCCUGUCAAACUCUUUGCUUGCUUAGUUGUUUGUAUCUGGAUGUUGAUGUACAGUCUGCUUCAGGUAUGCUGAGAGAUGCUUUAUAUAUUGAUAACAGCACAAAGAGACGUCUUUAACAGCUAAGACAGCAACGCAAAACUGCCAAAACUGACAGCGCUGACGGCGUUUUAGCUGAGUGAUGUUUUUGAAAACGUCACAGCUGGGAAAAAAAAGUAGAAAAAGCUGUCUUAAAGAUGAGCCCAGUUAUAAAUUAAACCCAAUCAUUCAAGUUAUUGUAAUAUUGUCUGUCUACAAUUACACUUGGAUUUCUUACUUCUUAAUCAGGGAGUCAUAGCUUAAGUUUUGCUUUGAUAGUUUCUACUCUGUCUGUGCGCUUUGAUUAUUUGCUGCAACAGGGGUGGAGCAGCUGCUGGUAGAAAAUAAAGAUAAUUUUGCUUUUGUAAGGAAGAAACACAAAAGCGGUUUGGCCCCGGUUGUGCGGCAAAUACAUCUGCAAAAUGUUCUUUUGGUUGAAGGACAAUUCAAUAACAUCUUUUUACUCUGUUAUUCAGAAAAUGGAAAAUAAAACUGGUUUGGAUUUUGAACACAGCUGAAUCUUUCUGCAAAGAAAAUCGUGUUUGAAUCACCAAUUUGACACAUAAUUCAGUGACUGUUGAGCCUCUACUGUAUGUGAAAAAGCAACGUGAUUUUACAGUUUUUGCAGGUUUGCUCGUGUUUAAUGAAGUAAACUAUGUUCCUUUAUGCUGUGCUGUUACCUUCAGACAGAGUUAGCAGUUAAAAGUCCUGUUGGGGUCCACAUGGAUCAGGGAUUGACCAUCAGAUUGUUCUGUGUUACUGAUAAAUCCAUAAACAGGAAGUAUUUCUCAUCUACCCAAACUGAUACACAGUUCGAAAUUCGCAUGUUUUUUUUUUCCUAACAUACCAGAUGAAAGGCACAGUUUUUGUGCUUUUGUGCGUAUCGGAAGCGUAGAGCAGCAAAAAUAGACCCGCUGCAUAUGUUUAGCAGUGCUGCUCUCGAUACGAUGCUGCUGCCACGCUCCAAAUACGCAUCCUGUAUGUUUUAGCCUUUCGCUGUCACUGGAUCAAUAGGUUGGGGGUUUGAUUCCAGGUCCCUCUAUCCACAUGCUGAAGUAUCCUUAGGAAAGACACUUGAACCCACCUGCCCCUGCUGGUGGUGUGCGAAUUGGAUCAUUUUUCUUAUCAUUGUGGCGUAUGUGCUGCUUCUUUGCCGAGGUGGUCUUUAUGCCUUGUCUGUAUAUGGCUUAUUGCGAAGUUCUAACAUUGUUUUAUUUAUUUUAUUUCUUGAUACAAAUGUAAGUCCAAGACAAAAUUCCCAAAUUAGUAAUUGUAUCGUAUUGUAUCGUAUCAUAUUGUAUCGUAUCGUAUGGUGAUGUUGGUAAUUGUGUAUCAGUACAGGUCCAUUAUCAAAUAUGUUAUUUUAAGUUGAAAUAUGACUCAUUAUCCCUUUUGAAUUUCAACAGUCCAUAGCCAUAAUCAGGCUGAAUGAGAAUAAUUUGCCAGACCCUCUGUGUUAAGAGGACUUUUAACCUGGAACCUUGCAUAUGGUAGGACUAAUGUUGGGUCCUAAUUGUCUAGUGUUAGAAUAUUAAGCGAAUGCAGACAUGCAAAAAAAACUGCAGUCUCUUUAAUGCGCAUUUAUGGCUGACUCCUAAUGCUAAGAACUUCCCGUUUGACCCUGUGUUGUAAUGCACAUUUGUUAAGAGCAAAAUCAAACCAGUGUAGUUCUAAAAUGAUUAAAAUAAUGGCUGAGAUGACUGACAGGUGAACACAGUGUAGCUGUUAGCUACACUGAGACCUGCUUUAUUUCUACCUUUUUGCUUGUAUUAAGGUGGAUUUAAAGUCAGGCUGGGUCAGCAUUUCCAUCAAGCUUUCAGCCAUCAACGGGCUUUAAAACAUCUCUCCAUAAACCAGUGAGUGACCUUACACAGACUACAUCUAUUUUUUAUACAGUCUGUGGCAAGGUCUCUCUAAAUAAUACAACCAAAGUGCAGCCUAGAUCCGCUCUCUUUUAGUGACCCGAGGUGUGUUAUGAAAAUUGAACAGAUUGAUUGGGAGAGUGAUACAGCCCUUAAGCCAGGGUCAAAGGGCAUUUGUGAAUAAGGUCGGCGGUGUAUGAAAACACACAGAUUCAGACAGUAGAGAUUUCACUCAACUGUCUCAUUUGAGUCCACCUAACAAGAGCAAACCACAAACACAAGCCUGAGGCAGAGCCACAAAAAAGGACAAGGCUGCUUAUUGAUGGUGAUUUAUUGCCAGCUCUGUAGCAGCCGUUAUACUAAUGCAACCUGAUUUACAACACCAAAAGCUGCCAAAUACAAUCAAGUAAUCUUCAAAUACAGGACAUGCUUUUAUCGUUUACCUUUGUGAUAGGGCAAUAAAAACAAUUAAAGUUAAUGUCAAUCCCUGCCUAUCGUAGAAACAGGCACGGUUUAAGGUUUUUCUCCUGUUUGCCACCAGAUGGCAGUGUAGACCAGCAUAAAAAAUAAACACAAUGCACUGCAUGUACAAUUGGCACAGCCUGAGGAAAAAUACACUAACAAUGAAGGAAUAAAUCAAAUUAAUAAGAAAUAUGUAAAGAAUAUAAUAAAUGUCCAAUCAGAGCUCCUCUACUGUGUGAAUCUAUACUCUCCUUUAGCUCCUGAGUGUUAUCUUCGCCUUUUAAAGACAAAUUAAAUUGUUUUUGUUACUCACAAGUAUUUUCAGCUUACAUGCAUAAUUUAGAGCUUGUCAUUUGUAUCUAAAUAUCACAUCUCUGCACAUACUCUAUGGGAACAUUGCAACACGUAUGCCUUUAACUCUUCACUGAAACCCUCUCUGCAUAAUCGCAUAGUUUAACGCUGCAUCAGUAUGCACCAUCAGCAUCUGCAGCCAUUUAUAAGUAUUCCUUGUACUAUAAAAACUUUCCCAUCUUCAGCAUAUUUUUUUUUUAUAAUAACGCUAAUAUUAAAUUACAUUUCUCCAGGGAGACGUUCAUUGUUAUAAAAGUCAUAAAUCAUGACGUCGAGCUGCUACAGGGGGCAGCAGAGGCCCGCUGCGAUUCCUGCUCCUUUUGCCUUUGCAGGAUUCAGAGUAUUUAAAUGAAUGCAAGAUAGUGAAGUAACAGCUUUAAUGACAAAUAAAGUUGAAGCUUAAUUUGUCUGUUAGUCUUCUGCAUCGUCUCCUCAGAGGUUCUUUGACAAGCUGAUAUGACGGCUGAUAUUUAUUAACAACAACAACCACCCCCCAAAAAAAGCUGAUCCAGGCUUGAAAUGCCAACUGGCAGGGUUAUUAUUUUUCUUAAUGCGCCUGUCAAACUAUAAAAGUGCUCGUGUCUAAGCUGUCGGGUUUGCGAUCAGAGCCGGUGGUCCGAGAAAGGAAGAUUCAGCGAGAUCAAACGGGGGCGGACAACUUUACAGGUGAACUAUAAGAAAGCAGGAUUCAGAAAGCGCGUGUUUGUAAUUGUGUCAAAUGAGUGAUUCGGCUACAUCAACACUAUCAGCGGUAACCAAAAGAAAAAGAAGAAACCGUCAUCUUUAUUAAUGAGAUGAGCUACUUAGACAGUAGUGAGUAAGACAAGCAGAGAAGGAGCGAUCCUGAAGUGUGCGGCAGAGCCGUGAUUUCACAAUGAGAUGUAAAAAAGCUUGAAGAUGGAGUUCAGAGAGAGAGCCAAGACCCCAGCUGUGCCCCCACUCCCACUCACAAACACAUGUAUGCACAUAUGCACGUCCACCCACUCGAACAGUGGGCCUGAGCUGAUUCGUGUUUCUGGGAAACAAAACAGAACAUUUAAUAAAAAAGAGAUACAAACCGAAUAACAGAUCUGAGAAAAUUCUGACAAAUUCAACAAGCUGAAAAUCAAAUUUGAUAUCAGUGAAAAAUCAUUUUCACAAUCUAGUAUCAAAAUUGAGUGUAAAUUUUGUACAAAAGAGCCCAAGAAAAACAAAUAAAGUGCGAUUGUUCAGCUCUUUUGUGAUUUGUGAGUCACUGGAUACUAAUCACAAUAGGUUUCCAGCUCAUGCUAAAGGUAAUGCUGUUAUUAUUUAGUACACUCAUGGAAGUAAAUGCUGCUCGCAGUCUCUAGUAGAGUUUGGCUCCCUGUGAGUGUACUGUACAUAAAGAUAAAAAACACACGUCUCCUCCUCUUAUCGUUCCUUAAUGAAACCAAAGUAAUCCCAGCCACCUGUAUUUUGCACCGGUGAAGUUUGUGUAAUACAGUUUGCCUGAUGGAGCUGGGAUAUUAAUGUCACGCUCCUCACAAAAACAAGCUCACCAAAGCGAACAUUUCACUCAUCUGUAAGUCCACACUGUCAACAGCAUAAACAGUUCCUCUGCCAUUCUGCAUAUCUGGGAAAGAACUCAGCAGAAAUGUAAAUCAAGAUGUUUUAACUAGAGGUAGACAGAUGAAUCGGUUUGCUGAUUAAUCAGGCUGAUUUUUGGCAUUUUGUCAUAAUCAGGAUUGUAUCAUCAUCAGCCCUCAGAAUGACAACAUCGCUGUUACUUUUCUUCCAACUAAUAAAAUGCAUUUUUUUAUUCAUAUUUUUAAGUAAAUCCAGUUAUGAUGUGUAGAAAAAAACUAUUACAAAUUGCUGGACACAAAUCAAGAGUUUCCAUUUCUUUGAUAAUAUUGUUUAUUAUUUGUGUUAUCUUCAGCAUUAAUGGUGUCUUCUCAGAUGUGUGAGUUGCACAUGCUGAUGCAUCUCCAGGGUUCCUAUGCAACGAAGGAAAAGUAUGGAAAUAAAUUUGGUCAAUUCCCGGGUCUUAAAAAGUAUGGAAAAUGAAAAAGUAUGGAAAAAUAUUUAUGUUAACAGACCACAUUACCACAGUUCUGAAAUACUGUUUUCUAAAAUAGAAAUGGAGGUAUUUCCAAAAAUAAUUUGAAAAAUGUAGGGUAUGGAAAUUCCAACUGUGUAGGAACCCUGUUUCGUUCCAGCUGAAAAAUUCAUUUUUUAUUCACCUAUUCACAUUUUAAGUAAAUCCAGUUAUGAUGUGUAGAAAAAAAAAUCAGAUUGCUGGACACAAAUCCAGAUUUUCAUUUUGGGAAUAUUUUACUAAGACAGAUACUUUUCCAGUCACAUUUCUUUGAUAACAUACUUAAUUAUUUGUGUUAUAUUCACCAUUAACAGCAUCUUCUUAGAUGUGUGAUUUGCACAUGUCGAUGCAUCUCCAUACUUGCUGGGUUUUGAACUGUGCUUCAUGAACGGGUCAGGUGGUCCUUCUUCUCUUUAGAGAGAUUGGGUGUCCAUGGUUUCCAAGAAGAAUGUCAGAUUUUGAUUUAUCAGACCACAGGGCAGUUUUCCAGCCCCCCCUAACUCCAUCCUAUGUGGGCUCAGACCCACAGAAGUCAUCUGCAUGUCUUGGAUGGUACAGUUUUAACCAAUGUUUGUAGAAGCAGCAACAAACUAUUUAAAAAGACAGUUUUUUUUAAAUAGGGUUCUUGCAAAAAGUAUGGAAGUAAUUUGAUCAAUUUCCAGGUCUUAAAAGUAUGGUAAAUAAAAAAUAAAGUAUUGAAAAAUAUUUAUGUUAACAGACCAUAUUACCACAGUUAUAAAAUACUCUUUUCCAAAAUAAAAAAGUUGGUAUUUCCAAAAAUAAUUCUAAAAAUAGGGUAUGGAAAAGUAUGGAAAUUCCAACUGUGUAGGAACCCUAUAUAAAGUUAAUUUGAGCCCAUACAGUGUACUGAUUUCAUUGGCCAAAAUAAACUUAUCAUUCAACCUAAAACAACCAAAGAACCUAUAAUGCCAAAAAAAUGUGGUUCAUGUGUUUUCAGUUUUGGUUUGGGCUUUUCUGACCUGUGCUGCCUCAAAUCAGUAGAUUGGCUCCCUUUGUUUUGGCUUCACUUUUUUGAGUUGUUAUGUCAUCCAUCUCAUAAUACAUUCAAUUCAAUUUUCAUAAGCCUGCAAAUACCAAGUGUAGUUAAUUACUGGAUGUCCUGUAAACACAUCAGUACAUACUGAUGGUACCUGAAGACCAUCUCUCCUCUGUUCAAGCUAAAUCAGAGCUUCUGAUUUUCUAUCUAUGAUGGACUUUCAGCUGCUUAUUUCCUCUCGCUUAUUCUCUCUAUUUAUACCGACACCAACAGGUUUGCUGUCAUGAGUGAGAUGUAGGAUGUUUUCGUGAGUCACUGAUCUUUGACACUCUGUUCGCAUGAUGCCUCGACACAGGCACGGCGGCAAGUUAAAGCGUGACGGCAGGGCUUCUGCGUCGUGUUUGGGGGAUGACAAGGUAGCAAACUUUCACUUCAAGAAAUUAAAACCUGUUCUGUUUUAAUUUAAAGUCAGAAUUUAUGAAACUUUUCUGCAGAAACUGAAAGCACAUUAGUGAAAAAAAUUCACGCAUAAUGAAGGGGAGCAAUCUGCCCUAAUCAGCUUUGAGUUUGUGCCAUGUUCAAUUAGUUCUUGUAUCCCACUCAGGGAAAGUCGAGCUUGUCAGCAUGUUUGCUAUUGACCAACAAGUGAACACCAGCACUUGUCCAAUUGCAUUCAGCUCUCCUGCUAUUGCAGCACUCCCAGGCUCCCACUGUCUGCUUAUUUACUAAGUUCAUGUCCUUGCUUUGUUCGCAGCUGGGACUCUGGUAUGCUCCGCAAUGUCGCACAGAGGCCGUGUUACAUAAGCACUUUUUAUUCCCGACCUCAGGAGCAACCUUUGUCUCCAUGCAACAGAACUGCUGUUUUUAACCUCCUAUAUCUUGCAGGAUUUGUGAUAUGUUUUCUGUUUUUGGAUCAGAGUAUUCUGCACUUUGCACCCAAGUGCUGCCUGCAAGAAAGCAUGUUAUGGUCAGGUGCACAAGAGUUCAACAUGUGGGAGGAGGUUACUGACAUUUUUAUUUAGUGUUUUGUGAAGGCAACAGGAAUACUCAAAACCUACCAUAGGGAAAGUCUUUCAGUGUUCACACGCAUGCUUCCACUUUUACACCUGAAUACUAACUUCAGAAAUUAAGUCAUUAAGCCAGUGAUAGUAAAGAUGGACAUUACAUACACAAGUGAGACCAAAAUACUAAUUGGCAUCAACAUAUUGCCCUCAGGAUGGUUUUUAGAGCCAGUCUGUACAGUAGGAAUCACACGAACCGCCACAGAGGACUUUGCAAGUAAUGUUAGCUUUUAGCUGUUUAAGUGCUGUGAUAAGCACAUAUAUGAGUCCCAAAUAACUUAAUUUUCAUCAUGGAGCUUGCAUUUCUGAAUAGGUUGCCAUGUUUUUUAAGAUACAGUGUGGGUCUAAUGCACUGAUGUUAUUUAUCAUGUAUAGUAGGGGUGUCUCGAAACAACUUUUUUACUUCCAAAACAAUACCGAUAUUGUAGCCUUCUGUAUCCGCCGAUACCAAUAUUUAUCUGAUAUUGGCACAAACUUGUGCAUAACUUGUACACUCAGCUGCAAUGUCUUUUUUGGACUUAAACUCCUACUCUUUGCUACUUUGUUAGUACCUUAGUACACCUGGUUGUUGUGAUUACCUGGGCUCUGCAUGCUCGAUCAGGGUGCUGCCCACUAGAGGUGCCGGAGUGGAGCCUGGAAUGGACUGCUUGUAUCGGAGUGCUGAUAUCGGAGAUUUUAGAUGCAGGCCAAUUAGGGCUAGGCGAUAAACCGAAAAUUUACAGAUACCCAAAUUUACGACAAUAACCAAUGUCAUUUUCCCCAUAUCUGUAUUUGGUUUAAAAAAAUGAAUAAAUAAAAGUUGAUUUUGGAUGUGUGUAUUUAGGCUAUGGUCUCAUGUCCCUUUAAGACGCUGUCCUACAUAAGAGACGUGACUCCACCCCAUCCAGUCUGUAAAAAAAAAGGGAAAGGUGAGGAGAUGGAGGACAGUUACAAAGUUGUAGUGGCUGGAGCGGCGUCUGAAGUAGACUAAGUUAAUGUGGAAGGGGGUGAGCAGCUUGUGGAGUAGUUAUCAUCCAUUUAUUGUUAUCGAGGUGAACUGCUCAACAUAUUGUGAUAUUGAUUUGAGACCAUAUCGCCGGCCCCUAAGGCCAAAAUAAUCCGAUAUUUGUUUUUUGGCUGAUAUCUGACCCAUAUCCUGUAUCAGUAUCGGUUCAGGACAGCCAUAAUGUACAGUUUGAUUAAACUGUUCAUUAUUACCCCACUUACAGGCUAGCCAGUUUGCUUAUCUGAUAAAAUGUUGUGUUUUGUAGCCUAUCUUAUAAGAGGUUUUAAGUGUUUCUUUCUUUCCAUGCUGAACACUGUUUUGUUGCAUAUUUUUCACGUCAGUGAGUUUUCUGUCCGCGUCAGCUCUUUAGGCAAAGUAAUUCCGCAAAUCAUUGCCCAUCCUUAGUUUUAACCAUGCUAAAAGAAAAAGUUUUGGUACAUCAUGCAACACUAGUAACAUGGGUCACAUCCUCUGUUAUUGCUACAGAGCUGUAGUAGAUGGAAAGCUUUGGAGAUGCCAAAGUUAUAGUGUCUCUUUUUUACCAAGUCAAAGUGUAUGAAAAAGAAAAGACAAAUGAGGUCGAUGGCACCGGAGCAGAUCUGGAGUUUCAUUAUUCUAAACUUAGUUGUAAUUAAUUCCAUCCUGGGACCAUCAGUGACUCAUUAACUCAUGAAAAAUCUAUCUUCUAUAAAACAGAGGAUAUCUCGUAGGUCAUUGCAGAGAUGAACGAUGAAAAGGUCGAUUUCGUCAGCAUGUAAUAUUUGUUUGCCAAAGUUUGCACAUGAGGAGUGUGUGUUGACCCUGAGAGCUUCUAGGACAGUGUUGUGUCAGAUAAACACUCUAUUCCUACCUCCCAAACAAGCCUCUAUCAUCUCCUCACAGCAGGGUAUUGAUUACUAGAGAAAGUGCAUUUAAUUUCUCUCCCAGCAGGUCCACUUUGCCCAGCUGUCCUUCAGACCCCUAUUUCUCUGCUUAAUGGAAUAUUCCAGCCCGUCAGACACACACACAUAUAAACACAUAGAGAAGGAUAAGGGUAAAAUGAUGCGUGGCUUCACCACCUACACCCCGCAGGGAAUACUGAGUUUGAUGAGUUCCUGUCAUGAGAAUCAUAUGGCAGAAAUGCACCUGGGAGCUUUUCCAGCGCUCAUUCAUUCUGUCAUUUGAAUAUGAUUCAUCUCAUUGUGUGGGAUGCUGCCUGGAGUCCAUCAUCUGCAUUUCUGUACAGAGCGAGACAUGUUUUUUUUUUUCCAGCUCUGCACAAAAGUAAUAAUUUCAAAAGCUCAAUGAGAUAUGGAAUAAAGGCAGUAUUUAUGCACAAUGAAAAGCAGGUCUCGUUUUUGGCCGAUGGAAACAGACACCCGGUGCUCACGAAACUGAAUCAAAAUAUUUAUUUUUGUGUUUUACUGGGUCAGUGAGAAUAUGAUUUGCACUAGAUAAGGUUAAAAAAGGAUAGGGUUCAUAGACACAAUGCAGCUAACCGCUCCGAGAGACCCCUGAGCCUGGAGGUCACUCUCUGUUUAAUCUUACGAUCCUCCUGCACCGCCCACUCUGUUUUGUUUUUUUUUAACUCCUCCAUGCUCUGAUAUAACAGUCCUGGACUUGUUUCCAUCUCAUGCACAUUUCUGUAACAACCGAUAAAACUGAACUUAGCCCAUCUCUUGGAUGGAUAACAGUGGACUUGGUCAGUCAGCUUGUCUUCAAAGUUUUCUGCAGUUGUUAUCACUGCUGCUGCGUUUCUGCUUUCCCUGCGUUGGUUUGAUUUCCUGGAGUGUGAACAACUAAAGCACCAAAUCAAAUCUAGGGAGGCGUGGCAGCCAUCAUGCAUUUGUGAAUUUUGAGUUAAAAGCAAAAACUCAAGUUAGGAUGUCCUCCUCCAGAAAACUUUUGAGCAUGAACCCUCUCUUUUUUUUUUAUUUAAAUUGUAUGUAGUUUUUAAAACUAAUUUUGCAUGAAAUUGUCUUUUUUUUUACUUCUACUAAGCAAAACUUUUUUUUUUGUGCCACAUUUGCCUGAUUUUACAUUCUUGAAGAUUUCGUGGGUCAUCAUUCACAGUCAUCUAAGUCGUGCUCAUCAAAGCUCCAGUGAUGAAAUUAGAGUUUAUGUCAAUUUUGGCGCCCGCCUGUGGACAAACUUGUCCUCUACAUAUUAAGUAGUGUCUUUUAGGGUUCCUACGCAAGUAUGGAAAGUAUGAAAGUAGUUAGAUCAAUUUCCAGGUCUUAAAAAGUAGAAAAAUAAAGUAUGGAAAAAUAUUGAUGUUUCCAGACUAUUACCACAGUUGUAAAAUACUGUUUUCUAAUUGAAAAGUUGGUAUUUCCAAAAAUAAUUCUAAAAGGUAGGGGAUGGAAAAGUAUGGAAAUUCCAACUGUGUAGGAACUCUGUGUCUUCUGGUGAAAAAAAUCUUUGAAAAUCUAGAUUUCCAUUUUUGCGAAACUUAAGAAACCUCAGACUCUGACUAUUCGAUUUAUCGUACAGCCCUAGUGUCAAGUAUUCCUUUAUAUUUACAAACACUGUUUUACACUAUGGCAGUGUUGGAGGGACAGAGAGGAUCGACAAUGAAAAUAGGCAAUCAGAUUAGUGCGGACAUGGUUGUAAUCAUCAGAAACCGUUCUUGGUCAUCUUGGCUUGUAACAAAAAAGAAAAUGUUUCUCUUCUCUUCUGUGUUGGUAUUUUGGGUAACACACUGUCUGCUGGACUGGACUGAUAACAAAACAGUGCAGCCAUUACACUGAUGCAAUGCUAUAAUUGCAGUAAAAUCAUACAAAUUCACAGAGUGCUGUCCCUGGAAAACCCUGAUCAUUAUAAAAACACCUGACAAUGCCAGUGGGGACCUGAGGCGGUGAGAUAAUCAGGUUAAGGCGGCCUCUAACUUUUAUAUGCAGGAAAAAUCCAGACUAAGUGCAAGUACAUUUUCAAUCUGACUGCUUUUAGCAAACUAACAGAUAAUGCUUAUUUUUUCCUGAUUUUGAUUAGAAUGUGAACAAAACAGCUGAAAUUGUGAAUAAGGAUAAAGUAUGAACUUAUCAUUUUUCUUAACCGUAACUGCUGUUCAAUUGGGUAAGAGAAACCAUUAACUUUUAAAAACAGACAGCCUUCACCUUUAUAUUUCCGUUCCUGAAAACAAAACCGAGUUUUACUCUUCCUGAACCUUUAGCAGCUGACACCAAGAGCUUAUGGGAGUAUUUAUGAAUUUCAAAGUACAGCCGUAUGUCCCCCAGAGGAGCUGUUUCCCCAUGUGUCCUUUGUUUUUUUUCCCCACUAACCCCUCCUCUGGGAUUUUUACAACCACAUCCAACCUCAUUAUAAGUGAGGAUGACAUCACGUGCAGUCCUGCGUCUGUCCCUGAAGAGCCUGUGUAGGGGAGUGUUGCUAGGAUCACACAUAAACAUAAGAGUAUUGCUCAUAUAGGUCAACAUACACACACCUGAACAUCGGUUUUAUAGUGAGAAUCCAGUUUGUGGGUUAGAAGUGAAAGUCAAGCUCACCAAUUGACUUUAAAAACAGUACAGUCUGUUAAUAUUAACAUAAAAUACAUUAAAAUAAAUCUAUAGGUGCAAAUUAUCUGCAGAUUUUCAUCCAUCUUUUAAAAAGGAAAUCGCACAUCUGCUCUGAAAUACUACAUCCAUUUGUAGCCGUGUACCAUCAUGUAUAAUCCAUUAAAAAAACAAGAUUAACACUGAUUGAAGUUAUCCACAUCCUGCUGAGUUCUUGGCAGCCGGGAAGAAAAUGUUUGCCGAGUCGAUGUGACUUUUACCUAGAAUGCCCCUUGGGUUCAGGACUGGGAUUGGAGUGAAAGGUUGUCUAUAAAAUAUGCAUGUCACACAGAGGGCUGCUGGUGGAGUAAGUGUGGGUGUGCGCUUGUGUGUUUUCUCUGUAUGUGUGUGUGUGACAGGUGAGAUGCUGAGGGAUUACUUUAGAGCUGGAGAGGUGUACUUUAAAAUACACUGAGUAGAUUUAUGCCCUGACCUGUAUGGAAUUAUAAUACGGCUGUGGUUGUAGUAAUGGUAUAAAUCCACUCUGUGCAUAAAAAAAAAACACAUACCCCCUCCCCUUUUUACACUUUUAUGAUCACAUGCAAUAUUAAAGUAGAAACAUAAAGUCAAUACCACAUUCGAUAUUCCAUGUCUACAUGUCUCAUGAAGAAAGCAUCAGGACAGGAUCUACAACAUCAAACACAGACAUGAUGCUCAGUCAUCUGACUUUAAAUCAUUAAUAACCGGUAAAGUUUAGAUGAUGUGUUUUUAGGCUAAAACGUUUCCUUAAAAUAAAUCAAGAAAACUUGAUUUUUUGAAAAGCCUCAAGGCAAAUUAUUUGCUCCAAUUUUGCAUAAAUCUUUACAGCUAUACGGCUCAAUGUAUUAUGCACACAGAAGUGAUGAUAACUGAUAAAUAAACUGAGAGGAGGAGAGGAAAGGAGGUCCCUGAGAAUAAUGAUAAUCAGGUCACAGAUAUGAAAGGUUAUGUAGCUCUCUAAUCCUUUUACUGUAUGUUGGUCAGGAUGGGGAAGAACACACAUGUAAUCGAGUUCUCAUGCACGCCUUGUUCACGGCUUACAGGUACUUUACAUGCACCAUUUUGGGCGUUUUUGACAAAAAAGGACAAAAAUAAAAAGCUGUGCAGAAAUGCAGCGUUAAAUUUUAAUAUCGUAGAAAUACUAGUUUGAUGCUUGACCACAUGCGUUUAAAGCACUGGGAGAAGACUGAGAACUGAGGGCUGUCACCACAGACUCAUGCACAGGUCUCACCAUGGUUACCAUCACUUGUCUUUUCAUUGGUAACUGGGAAUCGGAGACUGCUACCCUUCAUACCUGUCAAACCUGUAUUUGCCAGUACUGGAGUCACCUUUUUACCUUUUUCCAAAGGCAGAGUUUUAAUUUGUCAUUAGUUUUCUGUCAUUCAUUUAAAAUAUAUAUGGAAACUUUUUUUUUCCAGCCGGUCCCAAUGUUUUUUCCCAAUGCGCCUCCAUGUAGGGGCGUGUCCAGAAUUUUUUGACUUGGGUGGCACAUCUAAGAUACUGACAUACAGAUGGCUGGGGUUGGUGUUCACAUAUUAUUAGCAUCAACUAUUAAAGUGUCACAGAGAGAUAUAAUAUUGUAGAGAUAUAACACAAUAUAUACAAUAUUAUAAUGUUCAAAUAUACUUAUUUAUUGACAAAACUGCUGAGCAAUUACAAUUAUCAAUUUCUGCAGUCCUGAUAUUUUGUGAAUACCGCUACAUAAAGUUUCAGUGUGUGCAAAACAAACAGCCAAAAAGUUGGUCUAAAAACUCCUCAAUAGCAGUUGGUCUGUAUCAUUAAGAUGGUUGUGGUCUUAUGUGAUCUCGAGUGUGAAAAAAACCUCGGCUUGGCUAACCUCUGGGCUCCACCAGCACAAUAUGCCAGCUCCCAUCUCAGAGCCUAUUUGGUUUCACAACUCACAAUUGGCGGGAAUGAGGGCCAAUUAUCCGUCCAGAGCUAUAGAUAGUUAAUGGGUUUAACAGUCUGUAUUUUUAUACUGUCCCCUGCCAUGUCCAGCAUAGUUACACUGUUGUCGGGUUCUUGUGCUGCCUGGUUUUCUUUCUGUUUGGUUCUGGGGUUUGGAUCUUAUGCUGAUUAGAUGUCUAUUAUCUAUUAUUGUUGCUUUUUUUUCUAUACUCAUGUUUAAUCAAAUCUAAAGGUCCUUACACACCAGGGCCGAUGCGAAUAUAGAAUGUGAAAUUACGAAAUAUUCGGAGAGGAAAUUUGACAGGCCUGACUAUACACAUCAAGCCCAAUGCGAUUUUCAACUUUCCAGGCGGAAAAGACGCAAACCGGGGAAGACUUCCCGGGGAAAGUCCCGCCUCCUUUGCCUCUGAUUGGCUAGAAAAGCUGGAAAGCACUUAUAGCCAAUCAGAGGCAAUGAGAUAAGCACAAGAAACUAUGGUAACAACCGUUGGCUUAAGUUAUCACAGAUGAAAGUUGUUCAUAAACAAUCAGACGGUCGGCCAUGUUGGAUAUACCGAUGAAUCUGACGUCGCAACAACACGAAAUGUGAUUGGUCAGAAGUGGACACACAGUAUGCGAAACUUUAGAAAAAUUGACCAUGAUCUGAAAAAAAAAAUGCUGCAAUAUUGCAGGAUGGGAAAACGUCACUGAUGUGAACGCUUGUAUUGACAGGAUACGGGUUCGAAAAAAAAUAGUGACGUCCUAAUUAAACGCACAUAAAAAACGGUCUGGACGUGAAAGGACCUUUAGAGAGAUGAAUAUGUCCAUUACUCAAGUUUUCACCCAACUUUUUACAUCUGGUGCUCGGUCCUGGCCUGGUACAGUUUAUUGAUUUUUAUGAUUGAUAUUGAUCAGUGCUGCUUCAAUUUCACACAGGCUGUAUUUGGUUAUGGACAGAUAAGGUCCACAGCCUCUGUGUUUAUCACUCAAUAUUUCCAAUGGGUCUGUUUGCCAAGGUGACCCUCGGAGCCAUGUUGUCAAGGGCAACAGCUCCUGGGAGGCGGUCUCAAGGUAAACUGUUCAGAGGUGAGUUAGUGCUCAAAAGGGCGAGUUGAACUCCCAGUCUAUUGAUACAACAAUGAGGCUACGUCCUCGUGGGCUCAUUUCUCUUAAGACAGACUCUAGAGUGGAUAACAGGAGAAGCUGGGGCUUUGGGUUGAUUGAUCCUUGGAUUAGAACUGACUAAUGGGACUAGACUUAAACCAGACCUCUUUAGAUAAUACUGGACACUCUUCUGCCAGCUACCCUCGCCUUCACUCUGCCAUAUAAAAGCAAAAAUCCAUCAAAAACUCUGAGGAAGUUCAAAAAACAGGAUCUAUAAGGGUAUUACUAGAGUGCUUAACAGUACAGUGAAAAUCUCCUUUUAAGACGUUACCCUCCAGCUCCACAGAAAUGGAGUUCACAUUAAAUAUGGAUCCAGCUUCUGUAGAAGGUAAAAUACCUGUCCAGAGUGCUCCUUCUUUCUUUUAUGACAGGAAAUGUAUCUAUGAAGUAUAACUCUGGAUUUUAAGUGCAGAAAAAGUCUAUUGAAUUUUAUGCCUGAGAAGUGGACCUAGCCUCUUGGUUUCAAGAGUAACAUCGAUGCUCAAGUGCCCUAAUGGCCCCGUCACCGUGGUUACAGCCAGAACGUUUACACACCCAAAAUAAAUAAAUGCAUUGAAAUAGCCUGACUGAAAUCGAACUAUUCGUAAUUCAAUAUUUAAAUUUUCUCAUUUAUGCAUCCAAGUUGAAAACUGCUCUAAGUGUUCUGGGCAUGCCCCGGUGUUUACAUGCCAGGCUGUGAGCUGGUGGUUGAAAAGCAUGGAUGCGUUGCCAAGGCGCAAGUUGUAAACAAACCCUUGUUAGACGAAGAUAAACGUAAAAAGACGAAAAAGAGCUUUAAAAGUGACACCCUGUUAGCCUCUCGCUAACACGUUUUUGCUGGCUGUUUUGACACGAAACACAUCAACCAGGCGACGACGUGAUAGCAACAAGCUGAAAGAGGGAUUUGACACCUACCUUUAAUUCGAUUCUUGCACAGUGUAUACAAACUGGGUCAAGGGUUGUAGUCCAGUUCCCACUGAAUAUUUUUUGGUCUAAAAGAGGUCUAAUAGAUGUCUAAGGUCACUUUCACACCUGACCAAGCGGACUCGGUUCGAUUGGGGAGCUGAAAGUCGCAACAUUGUUGCAUUUAUCACUUGUUUCGGUUCUGCUUUCACACUGUGAUUUCUAAAGUGAACCGAACUUUCUGAACAGCAUCACGUGGUUGAAAGGGGCGCUUGUCGAUUGGACAAAGUAGGAGGGGUGUGUAACCUCACGGAUUACAAACAGGGGUGGACUAGCCGUCUUGUAUCGUGCUUCGUCACAUUAUUUUAUGGAACGCUGCAACGUUAGUGAAUGCAACUAUUCCUAUACUGCUAUCGUAGCUUGUCAGGAAUUGAUCCUUUUAUUUUUCUAAAUUUGACGAUCUAACAUGUGACAACAUAUGAGCUCAGAGUUUAAAGACUGUGACUAUUGGUAGUUGUAAUUUGAUUUUGUUUAAAUAUGCCAAAUCGUGAAUUUAUGGGUUACUGUUGUUCAGAAAAUUGAGCUAAGCUAGCUAGUAACUGCUAAUGUCAGCAGUCACUUUUUGCCAUAGCAACAAGGGACGCCGUGCUUCCUCUACCUAAGAUGCACUGCGUAUACACUGUGUAUAGCGUCAUUAUACAUUUGGUCCUGUAUUUGGUCCGGUGAGCUUUCACACUGCAUACGAACCGAACCAGGGUUUACUUGCAAGCGAACCGAGACCCGAGUUUUCAGGCGGACCAGAGUUUGCUUGAUUGGUCCGCACCAGAGUUCAGAUGAGCUUUUACACCUGCCCAAACGAAGCAGACUAUCCGAGGAAACGAACUCUGGUCCGUUUAAAGCGGACCAAACAGCUCUGGUGUGAAAGCGACAAAAUGUAGCCUAGGCAACUGGUCUAAAAUCAGGCUACCACAGGUCUAAAAAUGAAAGUUUUUUAGACGUCUAAAUUUAGACCAAGUCUAAAUCUGGGCUAUAUCUAUACUACACUGUAUAUUGUUCAACGUCUAUCAUAAUUAUUUUAGUUAAGUACUUGGAGAUCAGUUAAAAUAAAUAGUUAUCGAAUAAUGGGUUAAAGUGCAACAUCUGAAUUCUGUCUACACAUAAACAGAAUCUAGAUGGCUGAAAUGAGGUCUAAAAAAAACCCAACUAGACGUCUAAUAGCCGUCUAUUGCUCAGUGGGUUAAGUCCCCUAACCUAGCUAUGGCCAUAACCUGAUUUAACUGUGCAUGUAAACCUUUUUUUUUUUGCUUUGCAGGUUAUAUAAAGGCAGUGAAAAAUUACUUACUGUAGCUUUAAUUUAAGUCAAACAGAAAAUUCUCAUUUUUAUAUUUGAGUGAAAUAUCUCAGCAUGUUUCAUCACUAACUGUUACACAGCUCAGGAUCAGUUUGACAGCAGUGACACGACAACACCAGAAACCAAAGAAAAAAAAAAAAGAAAAAAAAAAAAAAAGCCCCCCUGUGGUCCCCAACUUCAUAUUCUUUUUAAUGACAAAUGGACAUGCAGGCUCUCAACCGCACUGACUGAAUCAGUGGAUGAUGGUCUGGGAUAAUGUCACCUCUCGCCGCACUGCCAACCCUUUUUGUUAGUUGCUAGGAGACAACACAGCGGUGCCUAAAGGUUUUCAGAGAUAGUGUAAUGUUCCAGAGCCCUACUUUUCCUGCCAGAGUAGAGUGUGAGAAACGUGUGUGCAAAUAUGGCCGAAAUCUUUUCCUGUACGUCUGCCAAACGCUGCCUGAGUGCAUUUUUGAAUGGUCCGUGACAGGCGAAGGCAGCAGAAGAUGCCUGGAAAGUGUUGCUUUAUUCAAGACGUGUUGAGUAACCGAGGAGAUGAGCGCAACUUUCUGUGAUUUGACAGAGUUACAGAAAAGAAAUCACUCUGAGAACAAACUGAUUACAUAACAGCUUGAUCAUAUCCAAGGAUUAAAUCAGAUUUGCAAGUUUGUCUUCUCUCUGCAAGUGUUUGGUUCUUGAGAGGGAAAAAAAAGUGCAAAUCUCCACCAAUGGGGGGCAGUAAAGAUCCAUAUCAAGUUGACGCUCAUUUACUGGCAACUUUAUUGUUCUUUUUCCCCUCUCCUUUGCUCUUCAUUAUGUUUCAAUUUUCUGGCUAACCACUCAAAUUCAGUCCCACAACAGGAGUGUGGAAACCACAGCAGGCAGACCCAUUCCAAACACCAAUUUGGAGGAGAGGGGAAUUUCCCAGGAGAGCUUUUUGAGUUCAUAAAAUCCCCUCGUCUCUCCCAAGCCCCGACCUCCACCCCCCACAAAAAAAUCAUAUGUGCAAAAUUUACUGUUGGUUCAAGAAGUGCUGAAGAUAUUAAAGCUGUUUAUCUACCAGGAAUGUAUUUACUGCUGGAGACUGUAAAACCUAACACCCUGUAUUCUCUGCAAAUCUCUCCG